AUUGAACGCUGGCGGCAUGCUUUACACAUGCAAGUCGAACGGUAACAGGCCGCAAGGUGCUGACGAGUGGCGCACGGGUGCGUAAUGCAUCGGAACGUGCCCCGUCGUGGGGGCUAACUACUCGAAAGAGUAGCUAAUACCGCAUACGAUCUAUGGAUGAAAGCGGGGGACCGUAAGGCCUCGCGCGAUUGGAGCGGCCGAUGUCAGAUUAGGUAGUUGGUGGGGUAAAGGCUCACCAAGCCAACGAUCUGUAGCUGGUCUGAGAGGACGACCAGCCACACUGGGACUGAGACACGGCCCAGACUCCUACGGGAGGCAGCAGUAGGGAAUGUUGGACAAUGGGCGCAAGCCUGAUCCAGCAAUGCCACGUGCAGGAAGAAGGCCUUCGGGUUGUAAACUGCUUUUGUACGGAACGAAACGGCUCUGGUUAAUACCCGGGGCUAAUGACGGUACCGUAAGAAUAAGCACCGGCUAACUACGUG
rnacentral:rRNA from 1 species